rnacentral:rRNA from 1 species
GCAUGGUUGUCGUCAGCUCGUGUCGUGAGAUGUUGGGUUAAGUCCCGCAACGAGCGCAACCCUUAAGCUUAGUUGCCAUCAUUAAGUUGGGCACUCUAAGUUGACUGCCGGUGACAAACCGGAGGAAGGUGGGGAUGACGUCAAAUCAUCAUGCCCCUUAUGAUUUGGGCUACACACGUGCUACAAUGGACAAUACAAAGGGUAGCGAAACCGCGAGGUCAAGCAAAUCCCAUAAAGUUGUUCUCAGUUCGGAUUGUAGUCUGCAACUCGACUAUAUGAAGCUGGAAUCGCUAGUAAUCGUAGAUCAGCAUGCUACGGUGAAUACGUUCCCGGGUCUUGUACACACCGCCCGUCACACCACGAGAGUUUGUAACACCCGAAGCCGGUGGAGUAACCAUUUGGAGCUAGCCGUCGAAGGUGGGACAAAUGAUUGGGGUGAAGUCGUAACAAGGUAGCCGUAUCGGAAGGUGCGGCUGGAUCACCUCCUUUCUAAGGA